UAGAGUUUGAUCCUGGCUCAGAACGAACGCUGGCGGCGCGCCUAAUACAUGCAAGUCGAACGAGAAUGUGUAGCAAUACACAUGUAAAGUGGCGAACGGGUGAGGAAUACAUGGGUAACCUACCCUCGAGUGGGGAAUAACUAGCCGAAAGGUUAGCUAAUACCGCGUACGCUUCCUAAACUGCGGUUUGGGAAGGAAAGCGAUACCGUGGGUAUCGCGCUCUUGGAUGGGCUCAUGCCCUAUCAGCUUGUUGGUGAGGUAACGGCUCACCAAGGCUUCGACGGGUAGCUGACCUGAGAGGAUGAUCAGCCACACUGGCACUGCGACACGGGCCAGACUCCUACGGGAGGCAGCAGUAAGGAAUAUUGCGCAAUGGGCGAAAGCCUGACGCAGCGACGCCGCGUGGGGGAUGAAGGUCUUCGGAUUGUAA
rnacentral:rRNA from 1 species